GACGAACGCUGGCGGCGUGCUUAACACAUGCAAGUCGAACGGAAAGGCCCUUCGGGGUACUCGAGUGGCGAACGGGUGAGUAACACGUGGGUGAUCUGCCCUGCACUUUGGGAUAAGCCUGGGAAACUGGGUCUAAUACCGGAUAGGACCACGGCAUUCAUGUGCUGUGGUGGAAAGCUUUUGCGGUGUGGGAUGGGCCCGCGGCCUAUCAGCUUGUUGGUGGGGUAAUGGCCUACCAAGGCGACGACGGGUAGCCGGCCUGAGAGGGUGACCGGCCACACUGGGACUGAGAUACGGCCCAGACUCCUACGGGAGGCAGCAGUGGGGAAUAUUGCACAAUGGGCGCAAGCCUGAUGCAGCGACGCCGCGUGAGGGAUGGCGGCCUUCGGGUUGUAAACCUCUUUCGCCAGGGACGAAGCGCAAGUGACGGUACCUGGAGAAGAAGGACCGGCCAACUACGUG
rnacentral:rRNA from 1 species